rnacentral:rRNA from 1 species
GACGAACGCUGGCGGCGUGCUUAACACAUGCAAGUCGAACGGAAAGGCCCUGCUCUUGUGGGGUGCUCGAGAGGCGAACGGGUGAGUAACACGUGAGUAACCUGCCCUUGACUUUGGGAUAACUUCAGGAAACUGGGGCGAAUACCGGAUAGGAGCUCCUGCUGCAUGGUGGGGGUUGGAAAGUUUCGGCGGUUGGGGAUGGACUCGCGGCUUAUCAGCUUGUUGGUGGGGUAGUGGCUUACCAAGGCUUUGACGGGUAGCCGGCCUGAGAGGGUGACCGGCCACCUUGGGCCUGAGAUACGGACCAGACUCCUACGGGAGGCAGCAGUGGGGAAUCUUGCACAGUGGGCGGAAGCCUGAUGCAGCAACGCCGCGUGCGGGAUGACGUCCUUCGGGUUGUAAACCGCUUUCGCCUGUGACGAAGCGUGAGUGACGGUAAUGGGUCAAGAAGCACCGGCUAACUACGUG